rnacentral:lncRNA from 1 species
UAUAUACAGUCAGUGUUACACAGUUCAGUUAUAUACAGUCAGUGUUACAGUUCGUUAUAUACAGUCAGUGUUACACAGUUCAGUUAUAUACAGUCAGUGUUACAGUUCAGUUAUAUACAGUCAGUGUUAACACAGUUCAGUUAUAUACAGUCAGUGUUACACAGUUCAGUUGUAUACAGUCAGUGUUACAGUUCAGUUAUAUACAGUCAGUGUUACAGUUCAGUUAUAUACAGUCAGUGUUACAGUUCAGUUAUAUACAGUCAGUGUUACAGUUCAGUUGAAUACAGUCAGUGUUACAGUUCAGUUAUAUACAGUCAGUGUUACACAGUUCAGUUAUAUACAGUCAGUGUUACAGUUCAGUUAUAUACAGUCAGUGUUACACGGUUCAGUUAUAUACAGUCAGUGUUACAGUUCAGUUAUAUACAGUCAGUGUUACAGUUCAGUUGUAUACAGUCAGUGUUACAGUUCAGUUAUAUACAGUCAGUGUUACACAGUUCAGUUAUAUACAGUCAGUGUUACACAGUUCAGUUAUAUACAGUCAGUGUUACGGUUCAGUUGUAUACAGUCAGUGUUACGGUUCAGUUGUAUACAGUCAGUGUUACAGUUCAGUUAUAUACAGUCACUGUUACGGUUCAGUUGUAUACAGUCAGUGUUACGGUUCAGUUAUAUACAGUCAGUGUUACGGUUCAGUUAUAUACAGUCAGUGUUACAGUUCAGUUAUAUACAGUCAGUGUUACACAGUUCAGUUAUAUACAGUCAGUGUUACAGUUCAGUUAUAUACAGUCAGUGUUACGGUUCAGUUAUAUACAGUCAGUGUUACGGUUCAGUUAUAUACAGUCAGUGUUACACAGUUCAGUUAUAUACAGUCAGUGUUACAGUUCAGUUGUAUACAGUCAGUGUUACACAGUUCAGUUAUAUACAGUCAGUGUUACACAGUUCAGUUGUAUACAGUCAGUGUUACAGUUCAGUUGUAUACAGUCAGUGUUACAGUUCAGUUAUAUACAGUCAGUGUUACACAGUUCAGUUAUAUACAGUCAGUGUUACACAGUUCAGUUGUAUACAGUCAGUGUUACAGUUCAGUUGUAUACAGUCAGUGUUACAGUUCAGUUAUAUACAGUCAGUGUUACAGUUCAGUUAUAUACAGUCAGUGUUACAGUUCAGUUAUAUACAGUCAGUGUUACACAGUUCAGUUGUAUACAGUCAGUGUUACGGUUCAGUUAUAUACAGUCAGUGUUACACAGUUCAGUUAUAUACAGUCAGUGUUACAGUUCAGUUAUAUACAGUCAGUGUUACAGUUCAGUUAUAUACAGUCAGUGUUACACAGUUCAGUUAUAUACAGUCAGUGUUACACAGUUCAGUUAUAUACAGUCACUUCACAAUCACUCACGUAGUUGGUGA